CCUACGGGAGGCAGCAGUGGGGAAUAUUGGACAAUGGGGGCAACCCUGAUCCAGCCAUGCCGCGUGAGUGAAGAAGGCCUUCGGGUUGUAAAGCUCUUUCAGAUGCGAAGAUGAUGACGGUAACAUCAGAAGAAGCCCCGGCUAAUUUCGUGCCAGCAGCCGCGGUAAUACGAAAGGGGCAAGCGUUGUUCGGAUUUACUGGGCGUAAAGGGCACGCAGGCGGUCUUGCCAGUCAGGGGUGAAAGCCCGGGGCUCAACCCCGGAACUGCCUCUGAUACUGCAGGACUAGAGACUAGGAGAGGGUGGUGGAAUUCCCAGUGUAGAGGUGAAAUUCGUAGAUAUUGGGAGGAACACCAGAGGCGAAGGCGGCCACCUGGACUAGAUCUGACGCUCAGGUGCGAAAGCGUGGGGAGCAAACAGGAUUAGAUACCCCGGUAGUC
rnacentral:rRNA from 1 species